AUGACUGUAUAAUGAGACUGUGAGAUAACUUGUAAUAAUCAGUCUAGAACAAGGUGCCCGGCCAGAUCUGGCUGGCCGGGAGGGGCAGCCCGGCGGGGAGGGACACACAAAUGUAGCUGGACAGAGAGGAUACGAACCAAAGGAUACAUUUGCCUGAGAUAGAACUAAAUGUGAUGACAUCUACACAUGGAAUCUCAUCGUAUACAUGAAAUGAUCUCAGCUGCUACUGAAAAGUUAUUUACUGUGUAAAGGACAGAAAUGGAAAAUGGAAUUAAAUAAAAUGGACUUUUAAGAUCAUGUACUUGCCAGCUGACCACCUCUCUGGGGCAAUUGGUAAGUCAAGCCAUGCAGCAGACUACAGCCAGAAGUCGUAUGAUUACCCAGUACCGUCUUGAGUUAUUUGUCAUACGAGUUUCAGUGUGAACAACUUAAGUGAAUUUGUGAUACAUAUGGAAAACGUCAAAAGUUCAGCUGUUACCAUACUGCAUGGGGAUUCAAAUAAAAAAUAAAGAAGAUUCAUUUACACUCUAAAAAAUAGACUGUACCAUCAUAAAGUGUUAACUACCAACGGAAAGCAUCAUUUCGAUAAAUGGAAGGUACAAACAGACUAUACCUUCUUGUCCCUGAAGAGCAUCUAAUGGCGAAAAGAAGGAGGGAAUACACAGACCAUUAUUUCUCAUACGUGGUCUUUAUUUUAACAUUGGUGAAUAGUUGUUCAAAAGUGAUUCGCACAAUUAGUUGCAGAUCAUUAAAAUAGAUAUUUAAAAAUUAUGUAAAAGCGUAUAAUUUGCUGUGCAUGUCUGUAUUCUUCUGUUGUUAGAGAAUUGUUACAGUUUUUUGACAUGUCAGAAUCCUGGGUAUAUCAAGACCCAAUAACACAUAACAUCUAACUUAAUAGUAUUGUGUAAACAAUAUAUUCAGAGUAGAUGAGAAAAGGAAAGAUGUUAUAGCUAGGCUAUUCAUUAAGAGUGUAUAUAUGUGUAAAAGUACGUUUGUGUAUAUACUAAUGCAUUGCGUAUAUGUGUGUUGAUGAAGGGUGAUAGAAAGAGAAU